GACAGAGGCCUCAAGCGUUUAGGCGGAAUCACUGGGCUUAAAGCGUGUGUAGGCGGAUCGUUAAGUGCCUUGUGAAAUCCCACGGCUUAACUGUGGAACGGCUGGGCAUACUGGCGGUCUUGAGCCAUCUAGGGGCGACUGGAACAAACGGUGGAGCGGUGAAAUGCGUAGAUAUCGUUUGGAACGCCAAUGGUGAAAACAGGUCGCUGGGGGAU
rnacentral:rRNA from 1 species